rnacentral:rRNA from 1 species
GACGGACGCUGGCGGCGUGCUUAACACAUGCAAGUCGAACGGAAAGGCCCUGCUUUUGUGGGGUGCUCGAGUGGCGAACGGGUGAGUAACACGUGAGUAACCUGCCCUUGACUUUGGGAUAACUUCAGGAAACUGGGGCUAAUACCGGAUAGGAGCUCCUGCUGCAUGGUGGGGGUUGGAAAGUUUCGGCGGUUGGGGAUGGACUCGCGGCUUAUCAGCUUGUUGGUGGGGUAGUGGCUUACCAAGGCUUUGACGGGUAGCCGGCCUGAGAGGGUGACCGGGCACAUUGGGACUGAGAUACGGCCCAGACUCCUACGGGAGGCAGCAGUGGGGAAUAUUGCACAAUGGGCGGAAGCCUGAUGCAGCAACGCCGCGUGCGGGAUGACGGCCUUCGGGUUGUAAACCGCUUUCGCCUGUGACGAAGCGUGAGUGACGGUAAUGGGUAAAGAAGCACCGGCUAACUACGUG